rnacentral:lncRNA from 1 species
GUACAAGGAAGGAGGGUGUGUGUAUGUGUGUGUGUGUGUGUUGGAGAGAGAGGAGCAGGUGGAGGAGGAGGGAUGGGAUGGAGUUUGGUUUUCUAUUAACCUCUGUCCCACUGCUGUUCCUUCGGGGUGUGUUGUGUGCAGUUCUUGUUGUUCCGGUGACCCACGGCUCCAGGUACAGUCUCUUUCCUGCUUUCUUCUCUCCACAGUGGACCCUGCUCAUCCUCCCAGCUGCUUGGAAGGGAAGAUAAACACUGCAGAGUGCAGGAGCGCUCAUGCUGAGAGCAGAGAGAGAGGUUUAAUGGGCUUGUUAUCAGGCACCUGCUGAGCAGUCCUUCUCCCAAGAAGACAGGACUCAGAGAUAAAUGACCUGGCCCGAGCAGCCUCCUGGUGAGAAGAGAAAUGCCUGGAACAGGAAGUGGUGAAUCCAUAGACCAGGCAGGUCAUAGGGGCAGGCAAAGAUUUGCGGGGAGAAAAGCAGCCCUCCUUCUGCACAGUUGUCAACCAUCCAAGGUACCAAUCAAUCUAGAAAUAUUUGCUGCAGGUCUUCUGGGCUCCCAGUGUUGUAGAGAAUGCAGAGAGGUACCCAUCUGGUCCCUGCCUCCAAUGAGCUCACCAUCUAGUUGGGAGACCCGACCAGCCUCACCUCCUUGAGGAUUGGGGCUGCGAGCUGUUCACCUGGCAGGGCCUGGCCCAUGGAGGAGGCUGAAGAAAAACUGAUCAACUGAAUGAAUUAAACUGAAACACUGGUAGCAAGGAGUAGAAACAAUGACCUCUUCAGAGUUCAGACAAGGAGAUUCAGAAUGACAAAAGAGAGCAUUCAGCUGAUUGAAGAGAACCUUCAGAAGGCCAAGGGUUUCCCUUGGCCCCUAGGUGGAGGUAACCCAAACAGCAUGUGUCAGCUGAGCACUGGGCCUGACCUGCCCUGGACGGAAAUUCCUGCCUUGGAUUGACCUCUGGACCUGCCCUGGACGGAAGUGCCUGCCCUGGAUUGGCCACUGGACCUGCCCUGGAGGGAAGUGCCUGACCUGGAUUGGCUGCUGGACCUGCCCUUGACAGAAGUGCCUGCCCUUGAUUGGCUGCUGUGGGCUAGCU